rnacentral:rRNA from 1 species
AGUCGAGGGGCAGCAUAAAUUACUUGUAAUUUGAUGGCGACCGGCGAACGGGUGCGUAACGCGUAUGCAACUUACCUUUUACUAGAGAAUAGCCAAGAGAAAUUUUGAUUAAUGCUCUAUGUUCUUAUUUACUCGCAUGAGUAAAUAAGCAAAGCUCCGGCGGUAAAAGAUGGGCAUGCGUCCUAUUAGCUUGUAGGUGAGGUAAUGGCUCACCUAAGCUCCGAUAGGUAGGGGUCCUGAGAGGGAGAUCCCCCACACUGGUACUGAGACACGGACCAGACUUCUACGGAAGGCAGCAGUAAGGAAUAUUGGACAAUGGAGGCAACUCUGAUCCAGCCAUGCCGCGUGAAGGAAGACGGCCUUAUGGGUUGUAAACUUCUUUUAUACAGGAAGAAACCUUUCCACGUGUGGAAAGUUGACGGUACUGUAAGAAUAAGGAUCGGCUAACUCCGUGCCAGCAGCCGCGGUAAUACGGAGGAUCCAAGCGUUAUCCGGAAUUAUUGGGUUUAAAGGGUCCGCAGGCUGUUUGUUAAGUCAGAGGUGAAAUCCUACCGCUCAACGGUAGAACUGCCUUUGAUACUGGCAAACUUGAGUUAUUGUGAAGUAGUUAGAAUGUGUAGUGUAGCGGUGAAAUGCAUAGAUAUUACACAGAAUACCGAUUGCGAAAGCAGAUUACUAACAAUAUACUGACGCUGAGGGACGAAAGCGUGGGUAGCGAACAGGAUUAGAUACCCUGGUAGAAGGGC